GGGGGAUUAGUGGCGAACGGGUGAGUAACACGUGAGUAACCUGCCCUUAACUCUGGGAUAAGCCUGGGAAACUGGGUCUAAUACCGGAUAUGACUCCUCAUCGCAUGGUGGGGGUGGAAAGCUUCUGUGGUUUUGGAUGGACUCGCGGCCUAUCAGCUUGUUGGUGAGGUAAUGGCUCACCAAGGCGACGACGGGUAGCCGGCCUGAGAGGGUGACCGGCCACACUGGGACUGAGACACGGCCCAGACUCC
rnacentral:rRNA from 1 species